AAGGGGUAGCGGAGGCUCCUUCGGAUCCGGCUAUCGCUGGAGCUUUUCCGUCGCCCCGCCAUUGUCUGGCUUCUCCCCAUUGGGCUUCUUCCUUCCUUUUGCCAUUUUGCAUGUUUUCUUCUGCUGAAACCUAGGUUGCUUGCGUCUAGAUUGAGCCCCUGUCGUGAGCUUCAAUUCCGAGCUCGAUUUUACGGCUCUGUGCGAGUCGAGGACCCAUCAUCUGGGGCUUCAUUUAUAGCUGCUCUCCAUAGGAGGUUGUCGAGCUAGCCGGCAACAGUAAGCUCUGUCUGCGGGGGGGACAACGGCAAACCUUUCUUUGUCAUAUCUCUUCCCCUUUCCAGCAUCAGGUUUGGAAAUGUCCCCCACGUGUACAGUUUAAACGUCAUAGUGGACGGGUGCAUCCAUCAGGAAUGUUUGCUGUACAUAAACAGCCUGGAUCUUCUUGUAAAUUACAUUAGUUAGACGAAAUUUAAAGUUCAGAACUUUCGGGACUGAAUAUCAACCGCUUCCUAGGAGACUCCAAGAUAUGAAGCUGGUGCAUUUCCAAGUAGUCUUAAGGUUAGUGAGAACCAAUCCUUAUCGGAAUCAAAUUCUUGUAAAAGAUUUGUCGACACUCAAGUGAUAUUAAAAAUAUCGUUAUUUCUUGAUUUAUUUAUCUCCAAACUGUAUGUGUGACAAAUUUCGCUUUCCUGCGGAAAAUGUGCGUUGCCUUUAAAGCAAUGAAUAGCAAGCCAAAUUUCAAAUCCCAGCUCGAAACACACUGGGUAUAGUCCUACAGUGACACCCGUUGCUUGGAGGAAAUAGGUUCACCACGCUGGGCAUGAGGACGUAUGGCGCCCAUGUGGGUAUGCAUGGGCGGGCGGGCGUGCGUUAGCAGGAAGUGGUAGGAUGUGGCACACGCCGAGGCACAUCAGACAAGUGGAGGCAUGCAACA
rnacentral:lncRNA from 1 species